rnacentral:rRNA from 1 species
AACCACUGCUAUUGGGAUCCGACUAAGCCAUGCGAGUCGAGAGGGUUCGGCCCUCGGCAGACUGCUCAGUAACACGUGGAUAACCUACCCUUAGGUGGAGGAUAAUCUCGGGAAACUGAGAAUAAUACUCCAUAGAUCUAGGAUGCUGGAAUGCACCUAGAUUGAAAGCUCUGGCGCCUAAGGAUGGGUCUGCGGACUAUCAGGUUGUAGUCAGGGUAAAGACCUGACUAGCCUACGACGGAUAUGGGUUGUGAGAGCAAUAGCCCAGAGACGAUAUCUGAGACACGAUAUCGGGCCCUACGGGGCGCAGCAGGCGCGAAAUCUUCACAAUGUGCGAAAGCACGAUGAGGGGAUCCAAGUGCUGGCACGUAAGUGUCAGCUGUUUCUUUGUCUAAAAAACAAAGAGAGUAAGAGCUGGGUAAGACGGGUGCCAGCCGCCGCGGUAAUACCUGCAGCUCAAGUGGUGGCCGCUAUUAUUGGGCCUAAAACGUCCGUAGCCGGAUCAGCAAGUCCCUUGUGAAAUCGGGCCGCCUAACGGUUCGGCGUGCAAGGGAUACUGUUGGUCUUGAGGCCGGGAGAGGUCGGAGGUACUCCUGGGGUAGCGGUGAAAUGCUCUAAUCCUGGGGGGACCACCAGUGGCGAAGGCGUCCGACCAGAACGGACCUGACGGUGAGGGGCGAAGGCUAGGGGAGCGAACGGGAUUAGAUACCCCGGUAGUCCUAGCUGUAAAGCAUGCGGGCCAGGUGUCUAGCGCUCCUUGAGGGCGCUAGGUGCCGGAGGGAAGCCGUUAAGUCCGCCGCCUGGGAAGUACGGCCGCAAGGCUGAAACUUAAAGAAAUUGGCGGGGGAGCACCACAAGAGGUGGGACCUGCGGUU